GACGAGCUCUCCCUUGGUGCUUACCACAUACAAUUCGCCCGAGAAGUCCCUGCUUUUGCAGGGUGCUCGAGUGGCGAACGCGUGAGUAACACUUAAGUGACCUGCCCUGGACUUGGGGAUACCUUCAGGAAACUUGGGCUAAUACAGGGUAGGAGCUCCUGCUGCAGUUUGGGGCUUGGAAAGUUUCGGCGGUUGGGGAUAGACUCGCGGCUUAUCAGCUUGUUGGUGGGGUAGUGGCUUACCAAGGCUUUGACGGGUAGCCGGCCUGAGAGGGUGACCGGCCACAUUGGGACUGAGAUACGGCCCAGACUCCUACGGGAGGCAGCAGUGGGGAAUAUUGCACAAUGGGCGGAAGCCUGAUGCAGCAACGCCGCGUGCGGGAUGACGGCCUUCGGGUUGUAAACCGCUUUCGCCUGUGACGAAGCGUGAGUGACGGUAAUGGGUAAAGAAGCACCGGCUAACUACGUG
rnacentral:rRNA from 1 species